AGACAGCCAUUUUCUCAACUCGUACCCGC
rnacentral:sRNA from 1 species